AUUGAACGCUGGCGGCAGGCCUAACACAUGCAAGUCGAACGAGCGGCGGACGGGUGAGUAAUGCCUGGGAAACUGCCUGCUGGAGGGGGAUAACUACUGGAAAAGGUCGCUAAUACCGCAUUUCUUCAGAUGAGCCCAGAUGGGAUUAGCUUGUUGGUGGGGUAACGGCGCACCAAGGCGACGAUCCCUAGCUGGUCUGAGAGGAUGAUCAGCCACACUGGAACUGAGACACGGUCCAGACUCCUACGGGAGGCAGCAGUGGGGAAUAUUGCACAAUGGGCGCAAGCCUGAUGCAGCCCUGCCGCGUGUAUGAAGAAGGCCUUCGGGUUGUAAAGUACUUUCAGCGGGGAGGCGUUACCCGCAGAAGAAGCACCGGCUAACUCCGUGCCAGCCGCCGCGGUAAUAC
rnacentral:rRNA from 1 species